UCUGUCUUGGUGCUGAAAUCUGAAGCAAUAAUGGGUUAUAGGACUAUGGUGAUGUACAUGGAGAUAGGCUGCUUUGUAGUAUGUGUGUGUGGAUGGAUUCUGGUCUGCUCCACAAUGCCAACAGAUAUCUGGACCUGGUCUGAAGUCAGCAACGUGGUCCUGGCAACAUCAAACUACUACUCGAACCUGUGGAAGGACUGCAUAUCUGAUUCAACUGGAGUAUCUGACUGCAAGGGAAUUCCCUCCAUGCUGGCACUGAACUGGGACAUUCACAUGUGCCGGGCUCUUAUCAUCAUCUGUAUUAUCCUGUGUUUCUUCGGAUCAAUUUUGGUCUUAGUUGGAAUGAAGUGCACUAAGAUCGGAGGGUCCGAGCUUGCUAAUGCAAGAGUAACCUUUGCCGGAGGGAUGAACUACCUUAUAGGAGGGAUGUGUUCUAUGAUUGCUUACUCCUACUAUGGAAACAAAAUAAGAGCUGAGUUUGAAGAUCCAAACUACAUGGAACAGAAGUUUGAAAUAGGAGUAGGUGUCUUCAUUGGCUGGGGAGGCUCUACCUUACUUAUUGUUGGAGGACUUAUUUACAGUAUCUUUGCAGGAAGAGAAGGGUGUCACUCAAGCUCAAAGAGGUACGCUACGCAUCAGUUCCAAGAUGCCUACACUUUUGUUCCAACACAAAAAAGCGUUGUGUCUUUGGCUUCCACAGAGAUUAGUAGGAGUAAAAAACCAAGGACGAUCAGCAGCAGCAGAGCCAGUAGCAUCUCAGAGAUCAACAGUGUCACCAAGACAUCGGUCACUUAUUCAUAUGUGUGACUAACCUACACAGAAUUAUUUUUGUUUUUCUUUCACAAAGAAUGUGUGUUUUUACUUUGAGAGUCAAAAAUGUCAAAUCAAGUAUUUGUCUUUACAACACUUUCGUGAUUAUGAAACCAAAAGUGUUACUAAUAAUAAUACGGGCAUCCUGAAACAAUGGAAUUUUUUUUUUAUUGAUGGCAACACAGCUUCAAGCUACUUCUAAGAGCUGUUUAAGCUUUCAACUGUGACAUGACAUGACAUAUUUACUACAUUAAUUUUUCCACUAUCAUGAAACAAAAUUGUGUUUUCCCUGCAUCUGCAUCAAGGUGCAUCAUUUAAAAUUAAUAAAGCAUAACAGAAAUGUAAAGUGCACAUUUGCGUAUGAAUGGUGGUGCUUUGUUUGCAUAUUGAGGAGAACACAUUGAACUUGGGUUUUGAGGGGUACCUCCCCAGGGAAUUUUGAGUAUCGAACGCACCAUUUUUUCCUUCUGGUUACUUUUAUUAAUCACACAGUUUGUACUUUUUUUUUUUUGAAGCAGUUUAUAUAGAAAUUAUCUUUAUUCUUAAAGACAAUAAAACAAUAGAGAGUAAUGAGUUGGCAAUUUUGUUUAACGAGAGGCUACUUUUUGUCUGUCUUUGGUACGAGGAAAUAAUGUAUUGAACUUCACAUACUGUUCAUAUUCUAUACCUGGACCGUAUAGUCUGGGUCAUAAGUUCCUUCAUAAUAAGGAUUUACAACAGCUGAACUACACACCUAUUUUUUUUAGGUUUUACAUUACUCAGUUCUUAUGUCCUGUUUUAUCUAAGACAUGAAAACACAACAGCUAUAACAAUUUAAAUAUGUCAAGAGACGCUGUGUGGCAGGCAGGAGUUGGACCCAAGAUGCAGGCACUCAGGCACAAGGUUUAAACACAAAGAACUCAGCUUUAUUUACUGGCAGGGAAAAAGCAUACAAAAGCAAACUAAACUAAACUGGAAAAAUCACAAACUAAACUCACAGGGAGACACAGGGAGAUCCACACAGCAUGAGGGACGACGUGACACUGACUCAGAGAAACACAGGGCUUAAAUACAAUGGGAAGUAAUGAGGGCAGUGGGACACAGAAGGAGGGCACGGCUGGGAGAAAUCAGAACUGACGAGACAAGGAAGCAAAGCAGAACACAUUCACAUAAGACACAGAC